rnacentral:rRNA from 1 species
AGGACGAACGCUGGCGGCGUGCCUAACACAUGCAAGUCGAGCGAGGAGAUCCUUCGGGAUGAUCCUAGCGGCGGACGGGUGAGUAACACGUGGGCAACCUGCCUCAUAGAGAGGAAUAGCCUUCCGAAAGGGAGAUUAAUACCUCAUAACAUUGCAGUUUCGCAUGGAACAGCAAUUAAAGGAGUAAUCCGCUAUGAGAUGGGCCCGCGGCGCAUUAGCUAGUUGGUGAGGUAAUGGCUCACCAAGGCGACGAUGCGUAGCCGACCUGAGAGGGUGAUCGGCCACAUUGGGACUGAGACACGGCCCAGACUCCUACGGGAGGCAGCAGUGGGGAAUAUUGCACAAUGGGGGAAACCCUGAUGCAGCAACGCCGCGUGAGUGAUGACGGCCUUCGGGUUGUAAAGCUCUGUCUUCAGGGACGAUAAUGACGGUACCUGAGGAGGAAGCCACGGCUAACUACGUGCCAGCCGCGGC